rnacentral:rRNA from 1 species
GACGAACCGUGCAAACGUUGUUCGGAAUCACUGGGCGUAAAGGGCGCGUAGGCGGUUCGUACAGUCAGACGUGAAAUUCCUGGGCUCAACCUGGGGGCUGCGUUUGAUACGUGCGGACUUGAGUGCGGAAGAGGGUCGUGGAAUUCCCAGUGUAGAGGUGAAAUUCGUAGAUAUUGGGAAGAACACCGGUGGCGAAGGCGGCUCACUGGCCCGGUACUGACGCUGAGGUGCGAAAGCGUGGGGAGCAAACAGG